GAUGAACGCUGGCGGCGUGCCUAAUACAUGCAAGUCGAGCGAACGGACGAGAAGCUUGCUUCUCUGAUGUUAGCGGCGGACGGGUGAGUAACACGUGGAUAACCUACCUAUAAGACUGGGAUAACUUCGGGAAACCGGUGCUAAUACCGGAUAAUAUUUUGAACCGCAUGGUUCAAAAGUGACAGACGGUCUUGCUGUCACUUAUCGAUGGAUCCGCGCUGCAUUAGCUAGUUGGUAAGGUAACGGCUUACCAAGGCGACGAUGCAUAGCCGACCUGAGAGGGUGAUCGGCCACACUGGAACUGAGACACGGUCCAGACUCCUACGGGAGGCAGCAGUAGGGAAUCUUCCGCAAUGGGCGAAAGCCUGACGGAGCAACGCCGCGUGAGUGAUGAAGGUCUUCGGAUCGUAAAACUCUGUUAUUAGGGAAGAACAUAUGUGUAAGUAACUGUGCACAUCUUGACGGUACCUAAUCAGAAAGCCACGGCUAACUACGUG
rnacentral:rRNA from 1 species